UUGGUCUCAGACUAGGCAUGCACGUCUAAGUACAAACUAAUGAUGGUGAACUGCAAAUGGCUCAUUACAACGGUUAUGAUGUACCCGGGAGUUCCGAUGGAUAUUUCCAGUAACACUAGAACUAAUACAUGUCCCUGCGUUUAUUAGUUUCGCACAGUCCGUCGCUGAGUCAUGGUAAACAGUUGAUCGACUCGACGUCCCGGAACAGUUUCCGCCCCAUCAGCUUCGAUGGUUGGGUAUUGGCCUACCAUUGCAACAACGGGUAACGAGGAAUUAGGGUUUGAUUUCGGAGAGGGAGCCUGAGAAACGGCUACCACAUCUACGGAUGGCAGCAGGCGCGCAAAUUACCCAAUGCAGACACUGUGAGGUAGUGACGAGAAAUAAUAAAGCGGGACUUCUGUUUCGCUAUUAUAAUGAGGAAUAACCAAAGGUCAUUCCGAUUAGCAACUGAUGGGAAAGUCUGGUGCCAGCAGCCGCGGUAAUACCAGCGUCAGUAGCAU
rnacentral:rRNA from 1 species